rnacentral:misc_RNA from 1 species
GAUGAAGAACGUAGCGAAAUGCGAUAAGUAAUGUGAAUUGCAGAAUUCAGUGAAUCAUCGAAUCUUUGAACGCACAUUGCGCCCGCCAGUAUUAUGGCGGGCAUGCCUGUUCGAGCGUCAUUUCAACCCUCAAGCCCAGCUUGGUGUUGGGGAUCGGCACAGGCGCCCUCGGGCGCCAGCCGUCCCCUAAAUCUAGUGGCGGUCCCGCUGCAGCCUCCUCUGCGUAGUAGUUUUCUCCUCGCAAGGGCAGCUCGGUGGCGACCUCGCCGUAAAACCCCCAACUUCUGAAAGGUUGACCUCGAAUCAGGUAGGAAUACCCGCUGAACUUAAGCAUAUCAAUAAGCGGAGGA